rnacentral:rRNA from 1 species
UACGGAGGGUGCAAGCGUUAUCCGGAAUCACUGGGUUUAAAGGGUGCGUAGGCGGCUAUGUAAGUCAGUUGUGAAAUACCUCGGCUUAACCGAAGGAAGUGCGAUUGAUACUGCGUAGCUUGAAUCAGGUUGAGGUAGGCGGAAUGUGACAUGUAGCGGUGAAAUGCUUAGAUAUGUCAUAGAACACCGGUGGCGAAGGCGGCAUCCUGGACCGGCAUUGACGCUGAGACGCGAAAGCGUGGGUAGCAAACAGG